UACGUAGGGUGCGAGCGUUAAUCGGAAUUACUGGGCGUAAAGCGUGCGCAGGCGGUUUUGUAAGUCAGAUGUGAAAUCCCCGGGCUCAACCUGGGAAUGGCAUUUGGGACUGCAAGGCUCGAGUUUGGCAGAGGAGACUGGAAUUCCUGGUGUAGCAGUGAAAUGCGUAGAUAUCAGGAGGAAUACCGAUGGCGAAGGCAGGUCUCUGGGCUGAAACUGACGCUCAUGCACGAAAGCGUGGGGAGCAAACAGG
rnacentral:rRNA from 1 species